rnacentral:misc_RNA from 1 species
GCUUUCUGUAUUUUGUUUCUAGCUGCAAUCCUUCUUUUUUUUGUCUGCAUUACUGCGGUAUAAUUCUUAGAUUCAAGGGAUGUGAAGUUGUUUGAGUGAUCUAUAGCAUAUGAUGCUACUAAGAAAGUUGAUAAAAUGUUUCUGUAAAUACUUUCCAUAGGUUCUGUACAACAAAUGAUGACUGCAAGUACACUCAACAUUCUUUCUGCUUUCUAUAUUAUCCAGUUUAACAUAUUUAUUGAUCUGCAUACUUUUUUAGCAGCUACUUUUCUAGCAUUUUUACAUGGAUAUUGCAGAUUUAGAAUGUCAAUUUAU